GAAAGUAAACAAGGGCGCAUGGAGGAUGCCUAGGCUCUCGGAGGCGAAGAAGGACGUGAUAAGCUGCGAAAAGUUACGGUAAGGCGCAAAUAGCCGUAGACCCGUAAAUAUCCGAAUGGGGCAACCCGGCCAGCAAUGGCCAUACCGCCAAGCGGUAAGCCAACGCGGGGAACUGAAACAUCUAAGUACCCGCAGGAAAAGAAAAUAACAAUGAUUCCGCCAGUAGUGGCGAGCGAACGCGGAACAGCCCAAACCACCCGUGUUACGGCACGGGUGGGGUAGAAGGAUCCACGACACGGCAAGAAAUAAGUUAGCGGAAUACGAUGGAAAUCGUAGCCAGAGACGGUGACAGCCCGGUACGCGAAAACUGACAGAAGCCCAGUGGACACCUGAGUAACCCAGGACACGAGAAAUCCGGGGCGAAUCAGCGGGGCCCAUCCCGUAAGGCUAAAUACUCCCGAGAGACCGAUAGCGAACCAGUACUGUGAAGGAAAGGUGAAAAGAACCUCGAACAGAGGAGUGAAACAGACCCUGAAACCAUGCGCCUACAAGCGGUCGGAGCAUGUUAAAGUGUGACGGCGUGCCUUUUGCAUAAUGAACCUACGAGUUACUCUCGCUGGCAAGGUUAAGCGAUUCAGUCGCGCAGCCGAAGCGAAAGCAAGUCCGAACAAGGCGUACAGUCAGCGGGAGUAGACGCGAAACCAAGUGAUCUACCCUUGGUCAGGUUGAAGGUUGGGUAACACCAACUGGAGGACCGCACCGAUAAGCGUUGAAAAGCUUACGGAUGAACUGAGGGUAGGAGUGAAAGGCCAAUCAAACUUGGAGAUAGCUCGUACUCCCCGAAAUGCAUUUAGGUGCAGCCUCGAAGCAGAGUGAUAGAGGUAGAGCGACUGAUAAGAUGCGAGGGCUUCACCGCCUAUCAAGUCUUGACAAACUCCGAAUACUAUCACUUGGUCUUCGGGAGUGAGGGCAUGGGUGCUAAGGUCCAUGUCCGAAAGAGGAACAACUCAGACCACCGGCUAAGGUCCCGAAAUAAGGGCUAAGUUGAACAAACGAAGUAAAACUGCAAAGACAGCUAGGAUGUUGGCUUGGAAGCAGCCAUUCAUUUAAAGAGUGCGUAACAGCUCACUAGUCGAGCGGUCCUGCAUGGAUAAUACGCGGGCAUAAGCAUAUAACCGAAGCUAUGGGAUUGUAGAUGAUACAAUCGGUAGGAGAGCAUUCCAUUCAGCAUAGAAGCAGUAUCGUGAGGUAUUGUGGAGCGGAUGGAAAAGCAAAUGUAGGCAUAAGUAACGAUAAUGCGGGUGAGAACCCCGCACGCCGAAAGAUCAAGGAUUCCCCGGCAAUGUCAAUCAUCCGGGGGUAAGUCGGAUCCUAAGGGUAAGCCGAGUGGCGAUCCCGAUGGUAAACAGGUUAAUAUUCCUGUACUGAUCAUAACUGCGAUGCAGCGACGCAGAGGUGACACUGCUGCGUACUGACGGAAUAGUACGUUGAAACCCGUAUUCUUUGAUACCGGUAGUGAAGCACGCCGGUAGAGAUGAAAGGUGAUAGUACCGCAAUGCUUCGGUUGCGCGGAUAAUGCAGGUAAGCUGACUGCCAAGAAAACCUGCUAAGCUUCAGGUAAUGAUCAUCCGUACUGUAAACGGACACACGUGAUCAGGUAGAAAAUACUAAGGCGCUCGAGAGAUUCAUGGUUAAGGAACUAGGCAAAAUGGUCCUGUAACUUCGGGAUAAAGGACGCUCUUGUGAAAGAGCCGCAGAUAAUAGGCCCAGGCGACUGUUUACCAAAAACACAUGGCUAUGCUAAUUCGCAAGAAGAUGUAUAUGGCCUGACACCUGCCCGGUGCCGGAAGGUUAAGAGGAGAGCUCAGAGGUAACUCGAAGGUUUGAAUUGAAGCCCCGGUAAACGGCGGCCGUAACUAUAACGGUCCUAAGGUAGCGAAAUUCCUUGUCGGGU
rnacentral:rRNA from 1 species